UUCGGCCUUAGUGGCGCACGGGUGAGUAACACGUGGGAAUAUACCUCUUGGUGGGGGAUAACGUCGGGAAACUGACGCUAAUACCGCAUACGCCCUUCGGGGGAAAGAUUUAUCGCCGAGAGAUUAGCCCGCGUCCGAUUAGCUAGUUGGUGAGGUAACGGCUCACCAAGGCGACGAUCGGUAGCUGGUCUGAGAGGAUGAUCAGCCACACUGGGACUGAGACACGGCCCAGACUCCUACGGGAGGCAGCAGUGGGGAAUAUUGGACAAUGGGGGCAACCCUGAUCCAGCCAUGCCGCGUGAGUGAUGAAGGCCUUAGGGUUGUAAAGCUCUUUCACCCACGACGAUGAUGACGGUAGUGGGAGAAGAAGCCCCGGCUAACUUCGUGCCAGCAGCCGCGGUAAUACGAAGGGGGCUAGCGUUGUUCGGAAUUACUGGGCGUAAAGCGCACGCAGGCGGUGACCAUAG
rnacentral:rRNA from 1 species